UACGAAGGGGGCUAGCGUUGCUCGGAAUCACUGGGCGUAAAGCGCACGUAGGCGGAUCUUUAAGUCAGGGGUGAAAUCCUGGAGCUCAACUCCAGAACUGCCUUUGAUACUGGGGAUCUCGAGUCCGGAAGAGGUGAGUGGAACUCCGAGUGUAGAGGUGAAAUUCGUAGAUAUUCGGAAGAACACCAGUGGCGAAGGCGGCUCACUGGUCCGGUACUGACGCUGAGGCGCGAAGGCGUGGGGAGCGAACGGG
rnacentral:rRNA from 1 species